rnacentral:rRNA from 1 species
UACGUAGGGUGCGAGCGUUGUCCGGAAUUAUUGGGCGUAAAGAGCUCGUAGGCGGUGUGUCACGUCGUUCGUGAAAACCUGCAGCUUAACUGUGGGCGUGCGGUCGAUACGGGCAUCACUGGAGUUCGGCAGGGGGGACUGGAAUUCCUGGUGUAGCGGUGAAAUGCGCAGAUAUCAGGAGGAACACCGGUGGCGAAGGCGGCAUCCUGGACCGAUAUUGACGCUGAGGCGCGAAAGCCAGGGGAGCAAACGGG